AUAAUAAAAACUGCAUUACGAUUAAAGAAAUUCUAAAGGGUCAAUUUAAGCAAGUGUAUCAGUUUAACUACAUGAUCGAUCUUCAGUGGCUCUUAGAAGUUUGGCCUGAUUUAAUAAAAACUGAGUGCACUAUCAUUCACGGACACACCAAUUCGGAGUGUAUAGAAGAAAUUAAAAAAUUAGCAUCAGAAUCUCUUCCGUUGAUGAAAAUUAUAAAACCCGUUUUGGAAUUAAAGUGGG